rnacentral:rRNA from 1 species
CCUACGGGUGGCAGCAGUGAGGAAUAUUGGUCAAUGGGCGGAAGCCUGAACCAGCCAAGUAGCGUGCGGGAUGAAGGCCCUACGGGUCGUAAACCGCUUUUGCACGGGGAUAACACCCUCCACUUGUGGAGGUCUGCAGGUACCGUGCGAAUAAGGGCCGGCUAAUUCCGUGCCAGCAGCCGCGGUAUAACGAAGGCCCGGGCUUUUAUCGGAUUUCAUGGGCUUAAAGGGGACGUAGGCGGGCGUUCGAGUCAGCUGUAAAAUCGCGCGGCCCAACCGCGCCCCGCAGUUGAAAGUGGACGCCUUGAGUUCACAACAGGCAGGCGGAAUUCGUGGUGUAGCGGUGAAAUGCAUAGAUAUCACGAGGAACCCCGAUUGCGAAGGCAGCCUGCCGGGGUGCGACUGACGCUGAGGCUCGAAGGUGCGGGUAUCAAACAGGAUUAGAUACCCGGGUAGUC